rnacentral:rRNA from 1 species
GAUGAACGCUGGCGGCGUGCCUAAUACAUGCCAGUAGAACGCUGAAGGAAGGAGCUUGCUCUUUCCGGAUGAGUUGCGAACGGGUGAGUAACGCGUAGGUAACCUGCCUGGUAGCGGGGGAUAACUAUUGGAAACGAUAGCUAAUACCGCAUAACAGUAGAUGUUGCAUGAUAUCUACUUAAAAGGUGCAAUUGCACCACUACCAGAUGGACCUGCGUUGUAUUAGCUAGUUGGUGAGGUAACGGCUCACCAAGGCGACGAUACAUAGCCGACCUGAGAGGGUGAUCGGCCACACUGGGACUGAGACACGGCCCAGACUCCUACGGGAGGCAGCAGUAGGGAAUCUUCGGCAAUGGACGGAAGUCUGACCGAGCAACGCCGCGUGAGUGAAGAAGGUUUUCGGAUCGUAAAGCUCUGUUGUAAGAGAAGAACGAGUGUGAGAGUGGAAAGUUCACACUGUGACGGUAUCUUACCAGAAAGGGACGGCUAACUACGUG